GUGAGGGCUAUUAAAAAUUUACUAAAUGGCACACCUCGAUCUAAGGAUUAAAAAUGUCAAUAUAAUAAAGGCCAUGUAUUUUUGAGAUUUUUGUUUGGCACGGGACACCUCAAAUUAUUCUAACCAAAAGGUUUCUAAAUUAACUUAUGAGUUCCAUAAACUAUUUUUGUUAUGUGAUAUGGCUCACCUUAAUUAUUAAAGGGCUUGGCUAAUUGAUUAAAGGGCGUAAGACAGUCUCGAACCUAUUUCACAAAACCAUACUUACUCAAUAUGUAUCGUCGGGAAUUGGGUCAAUCAUUUGAUACUAAUUGGGCCAUCCAUAGCCAUCCACAUGAGAAACUUAUUCAAAUUAAAGAACAAACAACUGUGGAAAAGGCAGGCCCUUUCCUAUUAUCAGAUACCUCCAAGGUCUACGCCCAAAUUGAGCCCAAACUCAAUGAAGAGUGGCAUACUUGCACAUGCUCAUCAGGAAUCGAACGCCUAAAGAGCCCAGACCAAAUCAAGCACAGAAACUAGGCUCCAAAUGGCCACUAUGGAAUCACAAGCUUCAAAUAAAUUACUGGAUUUCACCAUUACAAACAAAUGUACCAUUAAUUGGUCGAAACAAAAAAACACCUAAAUUUAAGCAUCAUUCAGUUGACUGCCCACGUUGUAGUUACAAUUCCUUAUACACAAGCCAUAUACUCACUAAUCUACAUACUAACAUGAUUGUCAGAUUCAGCAUACAUGUAUAAGCAUAUGUUUAUCAACAUUCUAUCUCCCUCACCUUAAAUUCUCACUACAAAUAACUUGAAAUUAACAGUUAACUCGCGAAGCAAUAAAAACCAACAAACCUACUUUAUGCUAACAUGCUCAACACAAAAAUUGAAUAAUGAUCCAUUUAACACAUUUCCAUCAAGUGUCCUUUCAAAUCUUAAUUGAUUACCAUAACAAGAACGCCAAAUCUGACAUUUAGCUAAUGAGCGCUUUACUAGAGAAUAACUUCACAUCAGAUACAAACUAACUACAUCUCAUAUAAAGCAUUAAAUAAGCUAAGAGUCAUAUUACCUAGGAGUAGUGAAACUAAAUUGAAGAUUCAAAACAUGUUGAAGCCAAUUUUAGCUUCAUUUGCCAUAAUAACAUCUAUAAAUCAACACAUACACUUUGAACCAAAUUGAUCUCAAGAGCUUGUUUAAUCAUACUUACAUGUCAAGCUACUCAUCCACAAGCUUGCUUAUACUGCUUCUAAACAUGCUAUUUAACAUUGAAACUAAGAAUUUAACUCCAAACCCAAGCACAGCUUUAUAAUAUGCAGGUAACAGCUCAUUUAACAUCUAUCACUACAGAUCUACUACAUAAUGUGAAGCAGCAAAAGGAACUGAUAAAAACUAAAUCAAAUACAGCUUGUAUUCCAUCAAAUUCCACUCGAAUUACAAAGUCAACAUUUAGUCGUCGUUCAAGGGCUAGAGAGAUACCUGGAAAGCAAAGUAAUAGAAAAGUGAGAAGAUCCACAGUCAGCAGUAGCAGUCAGCCCAAAUUUGAUUAAUCAAGCAAUGAAAUUUGCUUAUGGAAAUAAAUGGAGCAGUGGAGAAACUGUAAAACCAACUCUAAACUAUGACUUAAGCCAUUUCUCCAGUCAAAAGUGCAACCAGGGAAGUUUGGAGAAUCUUAGCUAACACCAGAGAAAUUAGAAAUCCAAAUGAGAGAAUUUUGAUAGUUCUUUGAUAAUGGAAUGUAGGAAUUUCAGAAUUUUUACAGAAUUCCAGCCAUCUCAGCUUUUUAGGGGUUUUAUCUCUUAAAUUUCUGCCUUGAGCUUCAACUAAGGAUGCAUUUAUAGGCAAGGUUUUAGGGAUGCAUAAAUGAGAUAAGUUUGGCACCCUAAGCCUUUUUAAAUUUUUAUUUUUGCCUAGAUACCCUUAGUUUAAAGUCAAGUCUGUAAAAUCAGCCGCAAAACCCACCUUCUAGGAAACUUCCCCAACCAGAUAUACAAGAUUUCCUUGCCCAAGUGCCCUAAACUACCCCAUAAACCCCCUAUUUUUACCCUCAAGACCAAACGGGUAUGGGUCACAUUGACCCAAUGGUCUAACCAAAUAUGGGCUCACAUUCAAACCAAAUGGAACUCCCUUGAAAUGGGAUCUAAAUUAACCUCAAAGCCCAAGCAGCAAUACGACCCAAACCAAAUCAGUAGUUCAAUGCAAGUAAAAGAAAACACUUAAAUAAUUUAAUAUAACUAAAACCUAAACUAAUUGAGUAAUUAAUUAAGACAAACAGACAUGGAAUUAACUGAGUUAUUAAAGUAAACCUAAUUAAAUUAAUCUAAGUGACUAAACAAGAGGUGAAAUUACAGGUUUAAACAUGCCAUUAACAAAACCAAAAAUAGACCGAGAAAAUCAGAGAACAAUUUUAAAAGGUAAAAACAAACACAAAGAAAUGAGGUCCUAGGUUCAAAACCUUGGUCUAGUCUCACUUGAGAUGACAUUUGACCAAAGAAAAGAAGAAUAACAGAAGAAGGAUAAGACAUAAAGCAGAAAAUAAAUGAACCAAAAGAAAAUGAAGGGAACUCAUCGGCUAGGCUCGAAGACAAUACUGGCACUCUGAGGCAACCCAAAACAAUGUCAAACUCUUGUUCUUGGCAAAGAACAAACGAAUGUCAUUAUUUCGAGCUAAAACAGGCUUAACAAUCCAAGGAAUUCAGAAGAGUAACCUUGCAUGCACAGGUUCGAUUUUAAGCUUCUAAGGCUCGAUCCUAAGAUUCAAUAUUCGAGGAGCCAUGGACAUAUUUGAGGGAAACUAACGAUAGAUUGGGAAAGAGGGGGCUAUGGAGGUCUUAUGGUGUUGAUUUGGGGGUGGCGCCACCAACCGGUGGCUGUGGGAAAACGAGAUGGCGCUUUAGGGUUUCUCUUUUGAUUUGAAAUUUGAGAAGUUCCAGAGGAAUUUGAAACAAACAGAGUGGGGAUUUGAGAUAAGGGGAGUGAGGUGGUUCUAGAGUGUGAUUUUGGGGCUGAUUGGUGGUCGGCCGCCACCGCAGGCGAUUUUCAGCGGGUGGCCGACGGUGGCGCUUUAGAGAGACGAAAGGGAGUCUCUAAGUUUUUUUGGGGGGGAUGGGGGUUUUGAUCCGACCAUUA
rnacentral:lncRNA from 1 species